GGAGAGGAGAGGAGAGGAGAGGAGAGGAGAGGAGAGAAGAGGAGAGGAGAGGAGAGGAGGCAAGGCUGAGGAAAAUUCCAUAGUCUUUAUCAGACAUCAGAAAAGGUUAUCACAAUGGUUUCACUGGAUUUUCAAGGUUAUUCACAGAUCAGUGGGUUUUCCGGCUAAUACAGGUCCUGAUGCUCUUCUGUCUUCACACAUGGUAUUCAUCAUAUCUUGACAAGAAAAGACCUUCAGUCUACAAAUAACCUUCACUGAAGUAAGACAUGUUUGUCUACUGAGUUUGGAGCCCUACUCAUCUAGGAGGAGCCAGCCCAGAAAUACUGUUGCAGCAUAUAGUACAGUAAUUCAAAACCAUGGAAAUCACUUGAUUGCCAGCUGAAUCGACUUUCAAAGGUUUCAUUCAAAGAUACUAAGCUCAAAGACAGCCUUAAUGAUCUGGAAAUACAAAAAGAUAAAUUCAGCAAUGUAUCAAAAUAAUAUUUAUUCACAACUGGUUUUGUCUGCGU